GUUAAAUUAAAAAGGGCGCACGGGGGAUGCCUUGGCACUAAAAACCGAUGAAGGACGG
rnacentral:rRNA from 1 species